AAGGACAAAUCCAAUUUGGCUCUCUGGAUGUAUGGAAAGCUCUCAACCUUCCAGAAAAGGACUGUUCAAAGGAACACUUAAAUCCCUCCGACAGACAAAGAUAACCUCUCUAGGCCCUCUGGUGGUGACGUAUAAGUGCUUUCUCAGUACUUUCUCUCGCUUUUGGACAAAUCCAAGUGCUGUAUCUGUACCCGAAUAGAAAUAAAGGAUUUUAAUGACACAGUUUUCUUCCGCUCUGAAAGUGAACGAAUUACAAAACAGUCUAGAGAAUUCCUCGCCCUGCUGCAGAAGAUCAAUCCUGGGUUGUGCUCACCAAAGCAAACCUCUUUUUUUGUGUAUUCAGUGUCUUAACUAUGUAAAAGACAACUAUAACAGGGUGUACAGUGCUGUUUCUGAAAUUGACGAAUCCUCUUGUGAUGAAGAUUGAAGAAGCUAUUGCCAUCCAAGUGGAAAAAGUCCCGCCUUUGUCACCCUCCUCGAAUAGAACUAAGAAAAUGUGGAGACUUUCUUCAUUUAGUUCCAAAUCAAGUGGACCAGAUGUUGAUUUGUUUGAAAUGGACUGAGACUUGUGUUUCAUAUGCCAGGUUGAACAGACGUUAGAAACGAAAAAGGAUAGUCUGAUUCAAGGAAAAGAUAAUAGUUUCUUCGUCGAUUUCGCAACAUACUAUCUGUGGACAUCUACAGAAAUCGUCAGGAUCUGUGCAACAUCGAUGUUAAUCCUGAUUCGCACAUGAACAAGUGCCCUGUUCUUAACCCUGAGAGUCUCGGAAAAUAUCUCUAUAGCAAGCUAGGUAGAUAUCACAAAACAUGUCGUUUGAGGUACAGCAACUCGAGGGUGAAACAAUUGAAGGGUAAAUUAUCUGAAGCUGUAAGUUUAAAACCUGUCUCUAAGGCAGGUUUUAAAAUGGAAAGACACGUGUCCACGCACGACAACACCAAUGCUGCAUUAAUGAGUGCAGGUAUUGAUACGGACCUUUUAACUGGAGCAGGAGAAUGUUUUACCAGAACUGUACCUCGUGUCUGACCUGAAGCUUAAGUACAAUGACUAUGUGACGUCUAAUUUAUCUGAGAACGCUGCAAACUCCAGCAAUGUUUAAUCUGAUCACAUCAGUUUUCAGAAAGACAAUGUCGGUAAGACGAGUUUGUUUCGACAGCAGGAUCGUAUCUAAUCUUGCUGCAACAAUAGAUGCGGAUAGAGAUGAUAACACUUUAACAAAGACAGCACUCUUAAAGGAGAUUAGAAAAGAAAUCUUUCAAUGUAGAAACGAAUUCUAUCAGAAGAUUUAUCUUCAAAAACAUGUUCGAUUUACUGAUCGGACUGUAGAAAUAUAGUGUUUAUGUGGAUUAAUCUGUUAAAGCAGGGCUAUUGUAUCAUUUUAACAUUAACUUUGCAUAGUGAUGAUACGUUUAUUGUGUCUCUUGUGAUUAUCUAUUUCUACAG